GAUGAACGCUAGCUACAGGCUUAACACAUGCAAGUCGAGGGGCAGCAUGUCGGUUGCUUGCAACCGACGAUGGCGACCGGCGCACGGGUGAGUAACGCGUAUCCAACCUACCCUUGUCCAUCGGAUAACCCGUCGAAAGGCGGACUAACACGAUAUGCAGUCCACAGCAGGCAUCUAACGUGGACGAAAUGUGAAGGAGAAGGAUGGGGAUGCGUCUGAUUAGCUUGUUGGCGGGGUAACGGCCCACCAAGGCGACGAUCAGUAGGGGUUCUGAGAGGAAGGUCCCCCACAUUGGAACUGAGACACGGUCCAAACUCCUACGGGAGGCAGCAGUGAGGAAUAUUGGUCAAUGGGCGAGAGCCUGAACCAGCCAAGUAGCGUGUGGGACGAAUGCCCUAUGGGUUGUAAACCACUUUUGCAGGAGGGUAAAAUGCUUCACGUGUGGAGUAUUGCAAGUAUCCUGCGAAUAAGGACCGGCUAAUUCCGUGCCAGCA
rnacentral:rRNA from 1 species